CCUACGGGGGGCAGCAGUGAGGAAUAUUGGUCAAUGGCCGGAAGUCUGAACCAGCCAAGCCGCGUGAAGGACGAAGGUUCCAAGCAUUGUAAACUUCUUUUGUCAAGGGACACAAUCAGGCUCGAGAGCCUGACCGAGUGUACUUGAAGAAAAAGCAUCGGCUAACUACGUGCCAGCAGCCGCGGUAAUACGGAGGAUGCGAGCGUUAUCCGGAUUUAUUGGGUUUAAAGGGUGCGUAGGCGGGCUGUUAAGUCAGCGGUAAAAGCCCGGGGCUCAACCCCGGCGAGCCGUUGAAACGGGCUGUCUUGAGAUGUCGAGAGGUAUGCGGAAUGCGCAGUGUAGCGGUGAAAUGCGUAGAUAUUGCGCAGAACUCCGAUGGCGAAGGCAGCAUACCGGCGGCGAUCUGACGCUGAGGCACGAAAGCGUGGGUAUCGAACAGGAUUAGAUACCCUUGUAGUC
rnacentral:rRNA from 1 species